rnacentral:rRNA from 1 species
CUACGGGACGCAGCAGUGGGGAAUAUUGCACAAUGGGGGAAACCCUGAUGCAGCAACGCCGCGUGGAGGAUGACGCAUUUCGGUGUGUAAACUCCUUUUAUAUAGGAAGAUAAUGACGGUACUAUAUGAAUAAGCACCGGCUAACUCCGUGCCAGCAGCCGCGGUAAUACGGAGGGUGCAAGCGUUACUCGGAAUCACUGGGCGUAAAGCGCGCGCAGGCGGCCCCUUAAGUUGGAUGUGAAAGCCUACGGCUUAACCGUAGAACUGCAUCCAAAACUGAGGGGCUAGAGUCUGGGAGGGGAAGAUGGAAUUAGUUGUGUAGGGGUAAAAUCCGUAGAGAUAACUAGGAAUACCAAAAGCGAAGGCGAUCUUCUGGAACAGUACUGACGCUGAGGCGCGAAAGCGUGGGGAGCAAACAGGAUUAGAUACCCCUGUAGUC